CUGGCGGCAGGCUUAACACAUGCAAGUCGAACGGGCGUAGCAAUACGUCAGUGGCAGACGGGUGAGUAACACGUGGGAACCUUCCUAGGGGUACGGAACAACUCAGGGAAACUUGAGCUAAUACCGUAUACGUCCGUGAGGAGAAAGAUUUAUCGCCCUUAGACGGGCCCGCGUCGGAUUAGCUAGUUGGUGGGGUAACGGCCUACCAAGGCGACGAUCCGUAGCUGAUCUGAGAGGAUGAUCAGCCACACUGGGACUGAGACACGGCCCAGACUCCUACGGGAGGCAGCAGUGGGGAAUCUUGGACAAUGGGCGCAAGCCUGAUCCAGCCAUGCCGCGUGAGUGAAGAAGGCCUUCGGGUUGUAAAGCUCUUUUGUCAGGGACGAUAAUGACGGUACCUGAAGAAUAAGCCCCGGCAAACUUCGUG
rnacentral:rRNA from 1 species